rnacentral:rRNA from 1 species
GACGAACGCUGGCGGCGUGCCUAAUACAUGCAAGUCGAACGCAGUGGGGACGGGUGAGUAACACGUGGGUAACCUCCCAUCAGAGGGGAUAACACUUGGAAACAGGUGCUAAACCGAUACUGAUGGAUGGACCCGCGGUGCAUUAGCUAGUUGGUGAGGUAACGGCUCACCAAGGCCACGAUGCAUAGAGGACGUGAGAGGGUGAGAGGGGAAACUGGGACUGAGACACGGCCGAGAGUGCUAGGGGAGGCAGAAGUAGGGAAGAGUGGGCAAUGGAGGAAAGUCGGAGGGAGAAACGCCGCGUGAGGGAAGAAGGGGUGCGGAAGGUAAAACGCGGUUGUAAGAGAAGCGGUAUCUAACCAGAAAGCCACGGCUAAAUACGUGCCAGAAGCCGCGGUAAUAC